UGAGACUUCAGAGACCAUUACUCUAGAUCAGUGAUCCUUAACAUCCUGUCUCAGAAAUAGAUGCUUCGUUCGUGAUAAAAUUCAUAAUGAUUCAUCAUUGAUGCCUCAUCUCAUCAUCAGAAUAAAUAAAUAAAUGAUAUAGUUCAACAGAU